rnacentral:rRNA from 1 species
UUUGCUUAAUUGCACCACAUGUGUUUUGUUCUGGACAAACUUGCUUUGGCGGUGGGCCCCUGCCUGCCGCCAGAGGACAUAAACUUACAACCAAAUUUUUUAUAAACUUGUCACGAGAUUAUUUUUAAUAGUCAAAACUUUCAACAACGGAUCUCUUGGUUCUCGCAUCGAUGAAGAACGCAGCGAAAUGCGAUACGUAAUAUGAAUUGCAGAUAUUCGUGAAUCAUCGAAUCUUUGAACGCACAUUGCGCCCUCUGGUAUUCCGGAGGGCAUGCCUGUUUGAGCGUCGUUUCUCCCUCAAACCCCUAGGGUUUGGUGUUGAGCAAUACGACUUGGGUUUGCUUGAAAGAUGAUAGUGGUAUAAGGCGGAGAUGCUUGACAAUGGCUUAGGUGUAACCAAAAACAUUGCUAAGGCGGUCUCUGGCGUCGCCCAUUUUAUUCUUCAAACUUUGACCUCAAAUCAGGUAGGA